rnacentral:rRNA from 1 species
CACUCAAUUGGAAAGAGGAGUGGCGGACGGGUGAUAACACGUGGGUAACCUACCCAUCAGAGGGGAUAACACUUGGAAACAGGUGCUAAUACCGCAUAACAGUUUAUGCCGCAUGGCAUAAGAGUGAAAGGUGCUUUCGGGUGUCGCUGAUGGAUGGACCCGCGGUGCAUUAGCUAGUUGGUGAGGUAACGGCUCACCAAGGCCACGAUGCAUAGCCGACCUGAGAGGGUGAUCGGCCACACUGGGACUGAGACACGGCCCAGACUCCUACGGGAGGCAGCAGUAGGGAAUCUUCGGCAAUGGACGAAAGUCUGACCGAGCAACGCCGCGUGAGUGAAGAAGGUUUUCGGAUCGUAAAACUCUGUUGUUAGAGAAGAACAAGGACGUUAGUAACUGAACGUCCCCUGACGGUAUCUAACCAGAAAGCCACGGCUAACUACGUGCCAGCAGCCGCGGUAAUACGUAGGUGGCAAGCGUUGUCCGGAUUUAUUGGGCGUAAAGCGAGCGCAGGCGGUUUCUUAAGUCUGAUGUGAAAGCCCCCGGCUCAACCGGGGAGGGUCAUUGGAAACUGGGAGACUUGAGUGCAGAAGAGGAGAGUGGAAUUCCAUGUGUAGCGGUGAAAUGCGUAGAUAUAUGGAGGAACACCAGUGGCGAAGGCGGCUCUCUGG